GUGCUUGCUUAGCAGCAUAUAUGCUAAAAUUGGAACAACUCGAAGAUUAGCAUGGCUCCUACACAGACAUAUCAUGAAAAUUCAAGAAGUGUUCCAUGUUAAA